rnacentral:misc_RNA from 1 species
GAAGUUAGAACCCAUUUAUGGCGGGAAACCCCAUAACCGUUUAAAUAAAUUCUCUUUUUCUUCAUUUCUCUGUAAAAUCAUCUAUGGCUUCUGGAGCGAACUCUUUGAUGUGGUUCAGGAAGGGUUUGAGACUCCAUGAUAAUCCAGCUUUGGAAUAUGCAGCUAAAGGAUCGAAGUUUUUGUACCCUGUUUUCGUGAUUGAUCCACACUAUAUGGACCCUGAUCCGACUGCAUUUUCUCUGGGUUCAUCUAAAGCCGGGUUGAACCGGAUACAGUUUUUGCUUGAAAGCCUUGCUGAUCUCGAUUUGAGUCUUAAGAAGGUUGGUUCACGUUUGUUGGUGCUCAAGGGUGACCCUGGUGAGCUCUUGAUUCGCUGCUUGAAGGAGUGGAGCAUAGGCAAACUUUGCUUUGAGUACGACACAGAGCCCUACUAUCAAGCUUUAGAUGAAAAAGUUAAGGACUAUGUUUCUGGAACUGGUGUAGAGAUUUUCUCUCCUGUGAGCCAUACCCUCUACAAUCCUGCCGAUAUAAUACAUAAGAAUGGUGGAUCCCCACCUCUGAGUUAUCAGUCUUUCCUCAAACUGGCUGGGCAACCAUCUUGGGCAACAACCCCUCUUUCAACAACCAUAUCUUCACUUCCUCGUAUUGGAAAUACUGGAAGUUUUGCAAUCUCAGAAGUUCCAACUGUCAGAGAACUUGGUUAUGAAGAUUUACCAGAGG